GCCAAGAAUGUUUUCAUUAAUCAAGAACGAAAGUUAGAGGUUCGAAGGCGAUUAGAUACCGCCCUAGUUCUAACCAUAAACGAUGCCAGCUAGCGAUCUGAGGACGUUUUUUUUGUAGACUCCUCAGGAAGCUUCCGGGAAACCAAAGCGUGUGGGUUCCGGGGGAAGUAUGGUUGCAAAGCUGAAACUUAAAGGAAUUGACGGAAGGGCACCACCAGGAGUGGAGCCUGCGGCUUAAUUUGACUCAACACGGGAAAUCUCACCAGGCCUGGACACUGGAAGGAUUGACAGAUUGAGAGCUCUUUCUCGAUUCGGUGGGUGGUGGUGCAUGGCCGUUCUUAGUUGGUGGAGUGAUUUGUCUGGUUAAUUCCGAUAACGAACGAGACUCUGUCCUGCUAAAUAGUGUCAGCCUCUCUUUUGGGCUGACAAUUCUUCUUAGAGGGAUUGGCGGCUCCUAGCCGCACGAGAUAGAGCAAUAACAGAUCUGUGAUGCCCUUAGAUGUUCUGGGCAGCACGCGCGCUACACUGAAUAGAUCAGCGUGUUCUCCCUUUCUGAGAAGAACGGGUAAACCGCUGAACCCUAUUCGUGGUAGGGAUCGGGGCUUGCAAUUAUUCCCCGUGAACCAGGAGUUCCCAGUAGGCGCGAGUCAUAAGCUCGCGUCGAUUACGUCCCUGCCCUUUGUACACACCGCCCGUCGCUACUACCGAUUGAAUGGCUA
rnacentral:rRNA from 1 species